rnacentral:rRNA from 1 species
CAAUAGCGUAUAUUAAAGUUGUUGCAGUUAAAAAGCUCGUAGUUGGAUUUGUGGUGUACUUCGGCGGCCCGUCACUAAGUGAUGGAGUCUGCUGAAGUCGCCAUCCUUGGGUGGAUCCUGUGUGGCAUUGAGUUGUCGUGCAGGGGAUGCCCAUCGUUUACUGUGAAAAAAUUAGAGUGUUCAAAGCAGGCUUAUGCCGUUGAAUAUAUUAGCAUGGAAUAAUAAGAUAGGACCUUGGUACUAUUUUGUUGGUUUGCGCACCAAGGUAAUGAUUAAUAGGGACAGUUGGGGGUACUCGUAUUUCAUUGUCAGAGGUGAAAUUCUUGGAUUUUUGAAAGACGAACUACUGCGAAAGCAUUUACCAAGGAUGUUUUCAUUAA